UAUACGAAAUAUAUUUUUUUAUUACAUUACAUCAAAAUUAAGAACACAUUCUAUAAAAAAUGGUUAAAGGUUACGAAAAACAUAUACAUAAUCCUUUAUAUCAUAUCAUUGUGAUUUUUAAUGUCCUUUCGGCCAAAGUUACGAAGUACAUAUAAUUAGGCGAAAUUAUCCUGUAACCUGUAUCCUGUAAGCGUACCAGUCCUAUCCAAGAUUAUGUGCAGCAAGGCGACAGACCGUCAGCGCAGAUUCUAGGAUUGCAGGAUGCUCACAGAAAAUUAAAGGUUGCGGAUGUUCCAGAAACGCUUGCACACCUCCUGUGUAGCCUUGGCAGCGAUGAGGCUUAGGUACCUAGGAGUCCAUCUGCUGAAAACGCUUCAGGAUGCAGCCAAGCGAACAAUAUACCAACUCUUGACAUUCGUCUGACACCCAUAUCCUGUAGUCGGUCUAUGUGGGAUGUUCCGGAUGUUCAAGAAACGCUUAGACACAUCCUGUGCAGCCUUGGUAACGAGGCAUAGCUACCCCAUCUAAGAAAUCGCUUCAGGAUGCAGCCAAGCGAACAAUUUAUCAACUCUUGAUGUCCUGUCAGAUAUAGGCCCCCGCUCCCGCACCCCACGGGCGAAAAUCUGUCUGUGGGACUCCUAGUGGAUGGCCUGCUUAAACUAACCUAACCUAUAUCUAGAAAAUCUAACCAUUAUAUUUAACAAUUGCAAAGUAAUAACUUCUU